rnacentral:rRNA from 1 species
UACGUAGGGCGCAAGCGUUGUCCGGAAUUAUUGGGCGUAAAGAGCUCGUAGGCGGCCUGUUGCGUCCGCUGUGAAAGCCCAGGGCUCAACCCUGGAAUUGCCUUUAAUACUGUCGACCUUGAGUAUGGCAGAGGUGUGUGGAACUCCGAGUGUAGAGGUGAAAUUCGUAGAUAUUCGGAAGAACACCAGUGGCGAAGGCGACACACUGGGCCAUUACUGACGCUGAGGCGCGAAAAGCGUGGGGAGCAACAGG